rnacentral:rRNA from 1 species
UUGAAAGGGAAACGAUUGAAGUCAGUCGUACCAGCGGGAAAUCAACCUUUCGAGUGGGGGUUUUGGAGUUUUGAAGAGUUUCAAAACCUUUGAGAUUUCAAAAAUUUCGCUCUUUUGGUGUACUUUCUCGUGGGUAGGUUAACAUCGAUUUUGAUCAUCAUAAAAAGAUUGGAGGAAUGUAGCUUCGAUCUUGUAUUGAAGUGUUAUAGCCUUUGGUAAAUGUGAUGAUUAGGAUCGAGGAUUGCAACGAAUACCCUUCUGGGCUAUCCGCCUGAUCUCUGAUACGUGGCCUUGGCAUCGAAAGCUUGCUUAUGGUAUUAAGGUAUUACGGUCAAAAGGUUAGAACGGAUUACAUUCGUUAAGGAUGUUGACGUA